rnacentral:tRNA from 1 species
GCUCUGGUGGCACAGUGGUUAAGUAUUCGGCUGUUAACCGAAAGGUCAGUGGUUCAAAUCCAUCAGGAGCU